GUUGAUAAAUGAUCUUAAAUAUUUUAAGAGAGUAUAUUUGAUUUUAAAAGUACUCUUCCUUCCAAUUUUAUCAAAAUAUCUAUUCAUAUCUAUCCAUAUUCUUUUAUAAAAUCUUAAUUUUAAUCUUAAUAUCACAAAUUCCUAUUUCAUAUACUAAAUCCCUAAAUCUACAAUCAGAAAGGGAAAGAAAGGGAACGGGGAGCUCGAGGGGGAAAACAGAAAGGGAAAAGAAAGGAAGGGGAAAGAGGGAAGGCAGGGGAAAAACGGAGGUGAAGAGAGGGAGGAGGAAGGUGCGACGCGGCCAAGACCUCACUGCUGCCGCUGUUGUGCUGCACGUGAGAGUGAGAGAGAGACACACACAGGACGAGCGUCGCGAGAAUCAAGGGAGGGAGACACGGUUCCGUCCUGUUGCCGUUGUGGGUUGCGCCUGAUCACCAUCGCAGAAGCUCCAUCGUCGCUGUUGCACAUAAGAGGAGAUGAUUUCGCUGAUUUUGAUUCUGUCUAAGCCCGCAUCGUUGCUGGAAUCGCGAACCGGGGAGGAGAGGGAGGCUGCUUCCAUCGUCAUUUCAGGUGUCAGAAAAGACCGUCGCCAUUGAAGGAUCCACCGCCGCCGAAUCCCAGCCAUCAUCGCCACCGGAGUCACCGUGGUUGCCGCUGGAGAAGUGCUAUGAAUGCCGCUGCUGAUGUUAGCACGCAAGGGGGGAAGAGCCCGUCCUUGCCGAUUCUGCCGCCGUCAAAGGGAAAAGGAAGUGAGAGCACCGGUACGGAACGCGAGAAAGGAAUCGUCGCCAAAACCGGAACAGAUUCACCGGUAAUUCCGCUUCUUCCUUUCUUGAUUCUGUCCCGUUUUUAUUUUGUUCCGCUGUUCCGAUUCCGUUGGUGUCCCUACUAUCCUAACUGAUCGAAUUGAUGCUGCUGCCCGCUAGGACGGACACCCUGGUCUCUGGUUCCUGUUAUUCUGAGUACCAAAGCUAUUGCUCCAUUCCCGUCUUUCCUUGGUACGAUUGGUUCUGUUCUACAAACAUUUUUCUGGUUAUUACUCCUUUGAUAAUCUGUUCUGUUUUGCCCUUGCAUUUGCUACAGCCAUUAUUAAUUUUCCCCCCCAAAGUUGCUGUUGCUGCUAUUAGAGUUGUGGUUGAUGCUGUUAUCCUCGCGUUAGAACAUGGAGGGUUGCUGCAUUUCCGAUUUUGUGUGGUUAAUGCGACAUCGAGCUGUAUGACAGGUAGAAGAUGAGAGACUUCAUCAUCUUUUGAUAGUGAACCUGAGAGAACCUUCCUUAGAUUGAGGAGGGAGGCUAGAGGCAAGGGUAUAGUUGGAGAAGAACCAGUAGAAGAAGAUCUAACAACCACCAUGGAAGACGAAGUACACGAAGAUGUUGGAGGAGGAGCUGGAAAUCAAGCUUGGCAAGAGAGGAGAGUCUUAGGCUCCUAUAUCAACCCAAAUCCAGGAAACUGUGGCAACAGCAUCCUCAAAUCAACAAUCCAUGCCAACAACUUUGAGUUGAAACCUCAACUCAUCACACUAGUCCAAAAUAACUUCUCAUAUGGAGGAGGUGCUCAAGAAGAUCCAAAUCAACAUCUCAACACAUUCUUGAGGAUAUGUGAUGAGCAGAUAAUUUAUACGCUUUUUGGCAUUAUUUUUAGGUAUUUUCUGGCUGAAAUUGAGAGACCUGAGCACAAAUCUGAUUCAGAGGCUGAAAAAGGACUGCAGAUACUGUUGGAUUCUGACCUCCCUGCACUCGAAGUAGAUUUUUAGGAGUUACAGAACUCCAAAUGGUGCGCCAUUAAUUUCGUUGGAAAGUAGACAUCCAUAACUUUCCAGCAAUAUAUAAUAGUCUAUACUUUGCUCGAGUUUUGACGACGCAAACUGGCGUUCAAAUGCCCCUUCUCUGCCCUACUCUGAAGUUAAACGCCAGAAACACGUUACAAACCAGAGUUAAACGCCCAAACUGGCAUAAAAGCUGGCGUUUAACUCCAAGAGAAGCCUCUACACGUGUAAAGCUCAAUACUCAGCCCAAGCACACACCAAGUGUGCCCCGGAAGUGGAUUUCUACAUCAUUUAUUCAAUUCUGUAAACCCUAGUGGCUAGUUUCAUUAUAAAUAGGACUUUUUUUAGGCUUUUUGGAAUAUCUUUGGACCAUUGUUCAUGUUUUGGGAGGCUGGCCAUUCGGCCAUGCCUACCCUAUUUUCACUUAUGUAUUUUUAACGGUGGAGUUUCUACACACCAUAGAUUAAGGUGUGGAGCUCUGCUGUUCCUCGAGUAUUAAUGCAAAGUACUACUGUUUUCUAUUCAAUUCAUGCUUAUUCUUAUUCUAAGAUAUCAUUUCGCACACAAGAACAUGAUGAAUGUGAUGAUUAUGUGACACUCAUCACCAUUCUCACUUAUGAACGCGUGAUUGACAACCACUUCCGUUCUACAUGAAGACAAGCUUGAAUGUAUAUCUCUUGGGCUUCUAAUCAACGAUUCACAUCGACUCCCCUCUGACAAUGGGGCAUCUGAAUCCGAGAUUAGAGUCUUCGUGGUAUAGGCUAGAAUCCAUUGGCAGCAUUCUUGAGAUCCGAAAAGUAUAAACCUUGUUUGUGGUAUUCCGAGUAGGAUCUGGGUUGGGAUGACUGUGACGAGCUUCAAACUCGCGACUGUAGGGCGUGGUGAUAGACGCAAAAGGAUAGUAAAUCCUAUUCCUACAUGAUUGAGAACCAACAACUGAUUAGCCAUACGAUAUAUGUGCAUGGUAUUUUUUAUCCGAGCCGAGCAAUCCGACAGUUGAUUAGCCAUACAGAAACCGUAGAGGACCAUUUUCACUAAGAGGACAGGAAGUAACCAUUGACAACAGUGACACCCAACAUACAGCUUGCCAUGGAAAUGAGUAUGAAGGAUUGGAUAAAGGCAGUAGGAUUGCAGAGAUUCAGAAGGAAUAACGCAUCUUCAUACGCUUAUCUGAAAUUCCCACCAAUGAAUUACAUAAGUAUCUCUAUCUUUAUUUUAUGUUUAUUUAUCUUUUAAAUUAUUAAAACUCUAUAACCAUUUGAAUCCGUCUGACUGAGAAGUUGUGAAAAAGAGUUAAGAUUACAAUUGUGCGUACCAAGUUGUUAGCGCCAUUGAGAUCACAAUUUCGUGCACCAAUAUGCUAUACUGUAAAGUCCAAUGGUGUACACCCUAACACCUACAAACUACUUCUGUUCCCUUUCUCACUCAGAGAUAAGGCAACAAAGUGGUUAGAAUUAUUUUCCAAGGAGAGCCUAACCACAUGGGAGGAUGUUGUGAACAAGUUUUUAGCGAGAUAUUACCCUCCACAAAGGAUCAACAGGCUAAGAGAUGCAGUGCAAACCUUCAGACAGCUAGAUGGUGAAACACUCUAUGAGGCCUGAGAGAGGUUCAAAGAUCUAACAAGGAAAUGUCGACCGGAUAUGUUUAAUGAGUGGGUACAGCUCCAUAUUUUCUAUGAAGGAUUAACCUAUGAAUCAAAGAAGGCUGUGGACCACUCUUCAGGGGGUUCACUCAACAAGAAGAAGACCAUUGAG